GACGAACGCUGGCGGCGUGCUUAACACAUGCAAGUCGAACGCUGAAGCUCAGCUUUUGUUGGGUGGAUGAGUGGCGAACGGGUGAGUAACACGUGAGUAACCUGCCCCCUUCUUUGGGAUAACGCCCGGAAACGGGUGCUAAUACUGGAUAUUCACUGGUCUUCGCAUGGGGGUUGGUGGAAAGGGUUUUUCUGGUGGGGGAUGGGCUCGCGGCCUAUCAGCUUGUUGGUGGGGUGAUGGCCUACCAAGGCUUUGACGGGUAGCCGGCCUGAGAGGGUGACCGGUCACAUUGGGACUGAGAUACGGCCCAGACUCCUACGGGAGGCAGCAGUGGGGAAUAUUGCACAAUGGGCGCAAGCCUGAUGCAGCGACGCCGCGUGAGGGAUGGAGGCCUUCGGGUUGUGAACCUCUUUCGCUCAUGGUCAAGCCGCAACAAUAGUUGUGGUGAGGGUAGUGGGUAAAGAAGCGCCGGCUAACUACGUG
rnacentral:rRNA from 1 species